ACAAAAAUCCCCAUGACCCACUUCCCGCAUGUCGCAAUCCCUCGAUCCCCACUUCUCGUAGUCCCUUGAUCCAAUCCACCCCGACACAUCGGCGCCUCCCCCCACCAGCCCGCCGCCGCCGCCACCCGCUGUAACCCCGCGCACCGCUCCGCCGGCCAGGAUCCGGCCGCCGCCCCCGCCCCCAGCCCUGUCUCCAACCGGCACCGCCGUCCCACGCUCGUCGUCAUUGGCUGCUCGCAUCCCCGCCACCAGGAUCCUCCGCCUCCCGUGCAUCUUCCUCCCGACUUCCCGGCGCCGCCCCGUUGGCCUCCUCCCGCGGCCUCACCACCGCCAUCCUCGCGUGGCCCAGCCGCUGGCCUACUCCCACAGCCCUACGUGAUCCAGCACCACCAGCUACCGCCAUGCGCACCACCCAAGCCAACAGUGGGGUGCUAUAGGCAGGCGGCGGUGUGUGUGGGUGGUCGGGUGGUGUGGGGAUGACCCUACUGCCAUGGGCCUCGCCGCCAUAGCCGGAUGCCCCACCUCUACAACCACCCCAGCCAUCAUCGUGUGGGUGCUUGUUGGAGGCUAAGAGCAGCAAGAGAGGAGACCGUGGCCACCUUGACCACUAGCAACAGCUUCUGCUGCCACCACCGGAGUGUCAUGGCCGACACAGGUUGCCGUCGUCCUCGUCAUACACGUUCAGGUAAGCAUCGUAUGCAGCAGAAGGCUGUUCAACUAUGAAUUCUUCAUAUAUGCCGAAAGGAAUUUCCUCCAAUAUCCACCUCGUGCAAAGCUCAUGGUGUCUUCUUCCUAAUUUUUCCAUGUGGAUAUGUAUGAAAGAAAGAAGGGAGAGUCUGGCUGGAUGAGCAGUUCAAGUUAAACUCUCACUACAGAUAGUUUGAUUUUUAUUUUCCAAGUAUUCAGUUUUUUAGAUGUUCUACAGUUCUUGAACAAUAUCUUAUCCUGUUUGCGACUUGAUCUGGCCCGCUCCAGCAGCUCCUCUCUUCUGUCACCAAUUUAGACCAGGCAGCCAGGAGUAUGGGCAAUGGAAGACAGCUGCGAGUUCCUCGUGGUCGUUGCUGGGCAUUGGCUAGUUGUAGGCAACGACGAGCAAGAUUCCAUGGCCAUCUAUAUAUUAGGUCCAACAACAAGGAAUGAGUCACCAGAAAUCAAUCAACCGUGGCCGCCGAAUAAUUUAACAUCUGCACAUUGUUGCCUAUGCAAAAAUGUGUGAUCACUUGCUUCGCACUUUUGUGCUAUUUUUUUGAAUUACUGAAGUUUACUUCUUUGUAUGCAGCAAAACUCCAGUGCAUCGCAUCUAUUUGUGUCUAUCCUCUGUAAACGGCCAUUGUUGCAGGUCGGCUUCACCUGAAGCGCCAGUUCAGCUACAAAAAAGAGCAGUGUACGUUGUUGUCUACUCCACUCACUUGUUGGAAUAAAAAUCCAGCCGGAUCUUGCUACACACAAGGAAGAAAUAGAGAAGAAGCAAAGCAUAGAUCGACUGCUGUUGGUCCACGCCGUGCGCGCCACCCAUCCUGACUGCUGCCUACAGCAACACAUCUUCACCUCCCGCAAAUCUGCGCGUCAGUCACCGCCACUACAAACCGCGGUGUGCGCCAGCCGACUCCGACGAGCUUGUGAACCUGUGAAUCCUACCGUCGCUAAUUCUGUUGUUAUUUACCAUCGCAUAGCUGUAGAGCAUUCGUUGCAGGCCGAGAAAAAUUCUUGUGGUAGAUACAAAAAAUGCUUGCGUCAAGUAUAAAAAAAUGCUUGUGGAAGAUCUCCUUCGCUCUCUUUACGUGUGACCAUUGUAGAGAUCUCACAUUUCCUUUGUUCUUGUGUACAAGUUGAUGACAUCUACCUAUUUGACGUUAUACUUAUGAGAACUGUGUGUGCA